UACGAAGGGGGCUAGCGUUGCUCGGAAUUACUGGGCGUAAAGCGCACGUAGGCGGAUUGUUAAGUCGGGGGUGAAAUCCCGAGGCUCAACCUCGGAACUGCCUUCGAUACUGCGGGUCUCGAGUCCGGGAGAGGUGAGUGGAAUUCCUAGUGUAGAGGUGAAAUUCGUAGAUAUUCGCAAGAACACCAGUGGCGAAGGCGGCUCACUGGCCCGGUACUGACGCUGAGGUGCGAAAGCGUGGGGAGCAAACAGG
rnacentral:rRNA from 1 species